UGUAAAGCAAAUAGAAUUCGGUUGCUUGACUUGACAUAUUCACUUGUUUAAUAUAUGACAUCGAAGUAUAAUCGUGUUGAAUUUCAUUUGUAAUAACGAGUGAAUUUUGUGUUUCUUCCAUAUUUAAAUAAUGAUGAUAAUUGCAUAAUCGUCCGGAGUCCGAUUUCCGUCAUCGGAUCGAAUUCCAUUUCCAGAAACAUAUUUUUGCUAUAACUUCAACGAAUCAACAGUUGAAGUAUAGGAAAGCAUCUUUCGUUGGUUUUCGAACCUCUGACGGAAAUCGCAUUCCGAACCUAUAAAAUAAAAUGAGAUCAAGUUGAUAAAAAUUGCAGCCGAAGCGGGAGAUUGUAUUUAUUAUAUUUAAAAACUGAAUUCCAUAAAACACCAUUACUAGCUGCGGUCGAAGAGUUUGUUCACGAGCAGGUUCUUAUCCACACAGAUAACCAACAAGUUCAAAUUCCAUUUAAAAGAAUUGGUGUCGAUGAACGUGAUCGCUUCGGUGCUGAUGCCUACCAGCGGGAAACCGUCACGAAGUACGUACAUCGUAAAGGGUAGUCGGAAGAAGCUGGUAUUGAGGAUUAAUCCACCGACGAACCGACGUGUCACCCCAUAGAAAAUAAUUCAAAUUUGCUGCCCACGACGCCAUGAUGAAAAAUCAUCGAACACUACCGCCACCCCUAUAAUGGCUCGCGAAGUUUUCGUG